rnacentral:rRNA from 1 species
AUUGAACGCUGGCGGCAGGCCUAACACAUGCAAGUCGAGCGGAUGACGGGAGCUUGCUCCUUGAUUCGGCGGCGGACGGGGGAGUAAUGCCUAGGAAUAUGCCUGGUCGUGGGGGCCAACGUUUCGAAAGGAACGCUAAUACCGCAUACGGCCUAAUGGAGGAAGCAGGGGACCUUCGGGGCUUGCGCUCUCGGAUGAGCCUAGGUCGGAUUAGCUAGUUGGUGGGGUAAUGGCUCACCAAGGCGACGAGCCGUAACUGGUCUGAGAGGAUGAUCAGUCACACUGGAACUGAGACACGGUCCAGACUCCUACGGGAGGCAGCAGUGGGGAAUAUUGGACAAUGGGCGAAAGCCUGAUCCAGCCAUGCCGCGUGUGUGAAGAAGGUCUUCGGAUUGUAAAGCACUUUAAGUUGGGAGGAAGGGCAGUAAGUUAAUACCUUGCUGUUUUGACGUUACCGACAGAAUAAGCACCGGCUAACUCUGUGCCAGCCGCCGCCGUAACAC